UAUCAGAAAGUUCCUGUACUAGUUCUGUAGUGUACCAACAGAUGCAGCAUAUGGUUGUAUGCACAGUGAAGGAUAGCAAAUUGCAAAAAUACUUGC